rnacentral:rRNA from 1 species
GAUGAACGCUGGCGGCGUGCCUAAUACAUGCAAGUCGAACGAGGAACUUUAAUCUUCGGAUGAAAGUUUCCUAGUGGCGAACGGGUGAGUAACGCGUUGGUGACCUGCCCCAAAGUGGGGGAUAACAGUUCGAAAGGACUGCUAAUACCGCAUAAGAUCAAUGGGAUUAGAUGCCUAUUGAUUAAAGGCGAAAGUCGCUUUGGGAGGGGCCUGCGUCCCAUCAGCUUGUUGGUAGGGUAAUAGCCUACCAAGGCUAAGACGGGUAGGGGACCUGAGAGGGUGGCCCCCCACACUGGCACUGAAACACGGGCCAGACACCUACGGGUGGCAGCAGUAGGGAAUAUUGGACAAUGGGCGAAAGCCUGAUCCAGCAACGCCGCGUGCGCGAUGAAGGCCUUCGGGUUGUAAAGCGCUUUUAGGGGUAGAUGAGAAAGGAACAGUAUCCUCUGAAUAAGCCUCGGCGAACUACGUG